UACAGAGGUCCCAAGCGUUGUUCGGAUUUACUGGGCGUAAAGGGUGCGUAGGCGGUCAAAAAAGUCUGAUGUGAAAUCUCGGAGCCUAACUCCGAAACUGCAUUGGAAACUGUUUGACUUGAGGAGUGGAGGGGAGACUGGAAUUCUCGGUGUAGCAGUGAAAUGCGUAGAUAUCGAGAGGAACACCAGUGGCGAAGGCGAGUCUCUAGACAUUUCCUGACGCUGAGGCGCGAAGGCCUGGGGAGCAAGCGGGAUUAGAUACCCCGGUAGUCUUGGCUGUAAGCGGUGAACAUUUGCUGUGGCGGGUUUCGACCCCGCCAGUGGCGAAGCUAACGCGAUAAAUGCGCCGCCUGGGGAGUACGGUCGCAAGAUUA
rnacentral:rRNA from 1 species